UCUCUUUGAUGACGCACCUCAACAACGGUGACAGGAAACCUCCAAAAGUCUUUUCUUUUCCUCACAUUCCCACUUCAGGGAUUAGACUUUUUCUUUUGUCACCAGGAGAGGCGUCGGCAGCAGGAAGAAGAGAAGAGGCUGACGAGGGAGACGGAAGAGGAGUGGUUGAAGACGGCCCAGGAAAAGAGGAAGUACUUGAGGGAUCAGUGGCUCAGUGAAACACCUCCUGUCCUCGCGGCACUUGACAACUUAAGGCCCCAUCGGCCACUGCGGGACGAAGCUGACAAGCACUCGACAGCAGAAACCAGAAGUCAAAAGACGCCUGAGGACGUGGAGGAGCAGACAGCUGAUCCCAGAAAAGAGAAACAAGCCUCCCAAGAAGAAAACAAAGAAUCUGUCAACUGCACAGCCAGAACACUCAGCCACUAUCAGGUGAGAGAUAGUCGGCAGAUGCUUCCAAUGUCCAGUUGUUUCUUGCAAAAUUAAGUGACCCACAAUAAAUAGCCCCAAAAUAUUGUAUGAUUUAAGCUGCUGUGAAGGCAGUGUGUAAGUCCCCCUUUAGCUAAUAUCCUCCUCAAAGGCUGAGCUUUUCAAAAUCUCAACUACUACAUUGGUGAAUGUGAAUUAGGGGCAAAAUGAUCUCUUAGGUCAAAAGAUGCAAA
rnacentral:lncRNA from 1 species